rnacentral:rRNA from 1 species
AGCGAACGCUGGCGGCAGGCCUAACACAUGCAAGUCGAACGAAGUCUUCGGACUUAGUGGCGGACGGGUGAGUAACACGUGGGAACGUGCCUUUAGGUUCGGAAUAACUCAGGGAAACUUGUGCUAAUACCGAAUGUGCCCUUCGGGGGAAAGAUUUAUCGCCUUUAGAGCGGCCCGCGUCUGAUUAGCUAGUUGGUGAGGUAAAGGCUCACCAAGGCGACGAUCAGUAGCUGGUCUGAGAGGAUGAUCAGCCACAUUGGUACUGAGACACGGCCCAAACUCCUACGGGAGGCAGCUGUGGGUAAUCUUGCGCAAUGGACGAAAGCCUGACGCAGCCAUGCCGCGUGAAUGAUGAAGGUCUUAGGAUUGUAAAAUUCUUUCACCGGGGACGAUAAUGACGGUACCCGGAGAAGAAGCCCCGGCUAACUUCGUGCCAGCCGCCGCGGUAA